UACGUAGGGGGGCGAGCGUUGUCCGGAUUUAUUGGGCGUAAAGGGCGCGUAGGCGGCCAGCACAAGUCAGUUGUGAAAUCUCCGAGCUUAACUCGGAACGGUCAACUGAUACUGUGCGGCUAGAGUGCAGAAGGGGCAACUGGAAUUCUCGGUGUAGCGGUGAAAUGCGUAGAUAUCGAGAGGAACACCUGCGGCGAAGGCGGGUUGCUGGGCUGACACUGACGCUGAUGCGCGAAAGCCAGGGGAGCGAACGGG
rnacentral:rRNA from 1 species